GAUGAACGCUGGCGGCGUGCCUAAUACAUGCCAGUCGAGCGAACGGACGAGAAGCUUGCUUCUCUGAUGUUAGCGGCGGACGGGUGAGUAACACGUGGAUAACCUACCUAUAAGACUGGGAUAACUUCGGGAAACCGGAGCUAAUACCGGAUAAUAUUUUGAACCGCAUGGUUCAAAAGUGAAAGACGGUCUUGCUGUCACUUAUAGAUGGAUCCGCGCUGCAUUAGCUAGUUGGUAAGGUAACGGCUUACCAAGGCAACGAUGCAUAGCCGACCUGAGAGGGUGAUCGGCCACACUGGAACUGAGACACGGUCCAGACUCCUACGGGAGGCAGCAGUAGGGAAUCUUCCGCAAUGGGCGAAAGCCUGACGGAGCAACGCCACGUGAGUGAUGAAGGUCUUCGGAUCGUAAAACUCUGUUAUUAGGGAAGAACAUAUGUGUAAGUAACUGUGCACAUCUUGACGGUACCUAAUCAGAAAGCCACGGCUAACUACGUGC
rnacentral:rRNA from 1 species